rnacentral:rRNA from 1 species
AGAUUAAGUUAUUAAGGGCGCACGGUGGAUGCCUUGGCACUAGAAGCCGAAGAAGGACGUUACUAACGACGAUAUGCUUUGGGUAGCUGUAAGUAAGCGUUGAUCCAGAGAUUUCCGAAUGGGGGAACCCAACAUGAGUGAUGUCAUGUUAUCGACAUGUGAAUUCAUAGCAUGUCAGAAGGCAGACCCGGAGAACUGAAACAUCUUAGUACCCGGAGGAAGAGAAAGAAAAUCGAUUCCCUGAGUAGCGGCGAGCGAAACGGAAGAGCCCAAACCAACAAGCUUGCUUGUUGGGGUUAUAGGACACUCUAUACGGAGUUACAAAAGAACAUGUUAGACGAAUCAUCUGGAAAGAUGAAUCAAAGAAGGUAAAAAUCCUGUAGUCGAAAACAUAUUCUCUCUUGAGUGGAUCCUGAGUACGACGGAGCACGUGAAAUUCCGUCGGAAUCUAGGAGGACCAUCUCCUAAGGCUAAAUACUCUCUAGUGACCGAUAGUGAACCAGUACCGUGAGGGAAAGGUGAAAAGUACCCCGGAAGGGUGAAAGAGAACUUGAAACCGUGUGCUUACAAGUAGUCAGAGCCCGUUAAUGGGUGAUGGCGUGCCUUUGUAGAAUGAACCGGCGAGUUACGAUCUGAUGCAAGGUUAAGCAGCGAAUGUGGAGCCGUAGCGAAAGCGAGUCUGAAUAGGGCGUUGAGUAUUUGGUCGUAGACCCGAAACCAGGUGAUCUACCCUUGGUCAGGUUGAAGUUCAGGUAACACUGAAUGGAGGACCGAACCGACUUACGUUGAAAAGUGAGCGGAUGAACUGAGGGUAGCGGAGAAAUUCCAAUCGAACUUGGAGAUAGCUGGUUCUCUCCGAAAUAGCUUUAGGGCUAGCCUCAAGUGAUGAUUAUUGGAGGUAGAGCACUGUUUGGACGAGGGCCCUCUCGGGUUACCGAAUUCAGACAAACUCCGAAUGCCAAUCAAUUUAACUUGGGAGUCAGAACAUGGGUGAUAAGGUCCGUGUUCGAAAGGAAACAGCCCAGACCACCAGCUAAGGUCCCAAAAUAUAUGUUAAGUGGAAAAGGAUGUGGCGUUGCCCAGACAACUAGGAUGUUGGCUUAGAAGCAGCCAUCAUUUAAAGAGUGCGUAAUAGCUCACUAGUCGAGUGACACUGCGCCGAAAAUGUACCGGGCUAAACAUAUUACCGAAGCUGUGGAUUGUCCGUAGGACAAUGGUAGGAGAGCGUUCUAAGGGCGUUGAAGCAUGAUCGCAAGGACAUGUGGAGCGCUUAGAAGUGAGAAUGCCGGUGUGAGUAGCGAAAGACGGGUGAGAAUCCCGUCCACCGAUUGACUAAGGUUUCCAGAGGAAGGCUCGUCCGCUCUGGGUUAGUCGGGUCCUAAGCUGAGGCCGACAGGCGUAGGCGAUGGAUAACAGGUUGAUAUUCCUGUACCACCUAGUAUCGUUUUAAUCGAUGGGGGACGCAGUAGGAUAGGCGAAGCGUGCUGUUGGAGUGCACGUCCAAGCAGUAAGGCUGAGUGUUAGGCAAAUCCGGCACUCGUAAGGCUGAGCUGUGAUGGGGAGAGGAAAUUGUUUCCUCGAGUCGUUGAUUUCACACUGCCGAGAAAAGCCUCUAGAUAGAUAACAGGUGCCCGUACCGCAAACCGACACAGGUAGUCAAGAUGAGAAUUCUAAGGUGAGCGAGCGAACUCUCGUUAAGGAACUCGGCAAAAUGACCCCGUAACUUCGGGAGAAGGGGUGCUCUUUAGGGUUCACGCCCAGAAGAGCCGCAGUGAAUAGGCCCAAGCGACUGUUUAUCAAAACACAGGUCUCUGCUAAACCGUAAGGUGAUGUAUAGGGGCUGACGCCUGCCCGGUGCUGGAAGGUUAAGAGGUGGUUAGCUUCUGCGAAGCUACGAAUCGAAGCCCCAGUAAACGGCGGCCGUAACUAUAACGGUCCUAAGGUAGCGAAAUUCCUUGUCGGGUAAGUUCCGACCCGCACGAAAGGCGUAACGAUUUGGGCACUGUCUCAACGAGAGACUCGGUGAAAUCAUAGUACCUGUGAAGAUGCAGGUUACCCGCGACAGGACGGAAAGACCCCGUGGAGCUUUACUGUAGCCUGAUAUUGAAAUUCGGCACAGCUUGUACAGGAUAGGUAGGAGCCAUUGAAACGUGAGCGCUAGCUUACGUGGAGGCGUUGGUGGGAUACUACCCUAGCUGUGUUGGCUUUCUAACCCGCACCACUUAUCGUGGUGGGAGACAGUGUCAGGCGGGCAGUUUGACUGGGGCGGUCGCCUCCUAAAAGGUAACGGAGGCGCUCAAAGGUUCCCUCAGAAUGGUUGGAAAUCAUUCACAGAGUGUAAAGGCAUAAGGGAGCUUGACUGCGAGACCUACAAGUCGAGCAGGGUCGAAAGACGGACUUAGUGAUCCGGUGGUUCCGCAUGGAAGGGCCAUCGCUCAACGGAUAAAAGCUACCCCGGGGAUAACAGGCUUAUCUCCCCCAAGAGUUCACAUCGACGGGGAGGUUUGGCACCUCGAUGUCGGCUCAUCGCAUCCUGGGGCUGUAGUCGGUCCCAAGGGUUGGGCUGUUCGCCCAUUAAAGCGGUACGCGAGCUGGGUUCAGAACGUCGUGAGACAGUUCGGUCCCUAUCCGUCGUGGGCGUAGGAAAUUUGAGAGGAGCUGUCCUUAGUACGAGAGGACCGGGAUGGACAUACCUCUGGUGUACCAGUUGUCGUGCCAACGGCAUAGCUGGGUAGCUAUGUAUGGACGGGAUAAGUGCUGAAAGCAUCUAAGCAUGAAGCCCCCCUCAAGAUGAGAUUUCCCAACUUCGGUUAUAAGAUCCCUCGAAGAUGACGAGGUUAAUAGGUUCGAGGUGGAAGCGUGGCGACACGUGGAGCUGACGAAUACUAAUCGAUCGAAGACUUAAUCAAUUU